rnacentral:lncRNA from 1 species
GAUGUGCGAGGGGUGAAUUCCUUUAUGAGCUCAACAUUGAGGCUUAUUUAUAGGAGCUUCAGAUUGCUCUAGUAUAUGGGGAAAUGUACAUUUUAUUGAAAGUUUUAUUAGUAACUCUAGGGGUGUAUUCCUCUAUGAGCUUAACAUCGAGGCAUAUUUAUAUUCUGACUUGCCUUUAUGGAUUACUCCACUGUUUCAAUUUGCUUGUUGUAGUCUGACUUAUAGGUGCUUCGGAUUGCUCUUGACUUAUAGGUGCUUCGGAUUGCUCUAGUAGAUGNNGNANNNNUCUAUGAGUUUAAAAUCGAGGCAUAUUUAUAUUCUGACUUGCCUUUAUGGAUUUCUCCACUGUUUCAAUUUGCUUGUUGUAGUCUGACUUAUAGGUGCUUCGGAUUGCUCUAGUAGAUGGGGAAAUUUACAUUUUAUUCCCAGCUUUAUUGGUGACUCUACUCUUUUGUCAUGGCAAGAAUGAGGAAAACAAUUAGAUGUGCGAGGGGUGUAUUCCUCUAUGAGCUUAACAUCGAGGCAUAUUUAUAUUCUGACUUGCCUUUUCAAUUUGCUUGUUGUAGUCAUAACGGUAAAUCUACUCUCUCCUUAUGGCAAAGAUGAUGAAAACAAUUUAGAUGUGCGAGGGGUGAAUUCCUUUAUGAGCUCAACAUUGAGGCUUAUUGAUAUUCUGACUUGCCGUUAUGAACUAUCUUCUCCGUUUUAAUUUAUAUAGCAUAAUUUGAUAGGGCAUGAAGUGUUUCGUGUUAUACGAUAAUGUUAGUACUUUCAAGUUUUCUACAUAAUCUUACCAAUCUAGAAAAUGUUCCUUCAUGAAUUAACUAUCUUUGUUAAUCUUAAAUUUUAUUUGUUUGACUCUAUAAAUCAUUUAUAUUUCUUGCUUGUCAUUGGCACGGAUGAUGAAACUACUAUAUGUGCAAGAGUCACAAAUGACUCUGUGAGCUCUAAUAGUUAUGCUAAUGUUUUCUGACUUGCCAAUCUUGCUCUUUUCAACAUAUUGGCUUAUUCAUUUAUUUUCUUACAAAGUGAAGCUGUAUGGUCAUGUUUUCGGACAACUCAUCCUUUGACAUCGAAAUGCUUAUGUAGGCAACCAUGAUAUACCCAGUGUGAUCCCACAAAUGGAGUAUGGGGAGGGUGGAGAGUACGUAGCACCUUACCUACCUUCUAAUAAUUAAAAGUUUAAAUCAAUAAAGAUUUUACCUUAAAUAAACUCUUUCCUUAUUUGGACUAUGCAACAUAACUAUAACACAUUGUAUGUUAAUCUUAAUAUUCAAUUAAUUAAGGUUAAAUCAUUUGAUUUGGCAAAAACUUCUUAUGAGAGGGGCAGGAGUAUACGUAUCAGAACUAGAGGGGGCACUCACAGUCAAAAGGAAAAACAAGGGGCGGCACUCCAAUAUCAGAAAAGCUCAUCCCCCAAACCCUAACUAUAUAAACAGAGGACAGCUAUUUCAUCAGUUUCCACCUCAAAGUAAGGUUAUUCGCUAGCUGUUCAGUAUCUCUUGAGCUUCUCACUACCAAUCCUAGCCGAAGCCAUGG